UGUCACAAUCUAGUUCACUGCACAGUCUGGCUCAUCACAAAUAGCCACCAAGAAAGCCAAAGUACUGAGCUGCCUAAAAUCAGCUGAAAGGUGAUUUUCUUUUGUCCUUAAAAAUUAGCCAUAUCAAGUCACAUUCCGUAAGUGGGAAAACUCUGAGAAAUUGUACAAUGAUUGUUGUUGGUUGGCUGAUUUUCCUUUUGGCUUUGCAUCUGAUGCAUAGAGUUCCAAACGCUAAGGUGAGUAAACUUUGAAAUACCAGUUGGAAAUGCUGCCCUAUGUCACCCUAGUUUGCUGUUUGAUGCAAAACCAAAGAGUUUGAUUCUUACAACCUUAGGAUGUGUUCAGUCCACUGUUUUAUGUGGUUUUGCACCCAGACAAUAGGAAAGCAUCCUGAUCAUGCCAAGGUACUUAUCUGUCACCAUCUCGACAAAUAGCCUCACCCUUUAAAUAGAGCUGAGACUUGUAUGCCUUUAGAACAUGUGUGCAAACCCAUAUAAGCCACAUGACCCCACAGUAAACCAUCUGAGGAAUUGUGGCAAUGAGAAUAUAUGGGGUGCUGUAGUAAGCGAAGAAGUGCCCAAAAUAAACCAGGUGUAGCAUUACCCUAAGCAUGAAGGAAGGAGAUAUGCAUGAGUCCCAACCUUUAUGCAAUACUAGAUGUGUCCUACAUGUUCCGCUAAUACUGAUAAAAGCAUGUUACAGGUGUUGAUGGAGACUAUUGAAGUUUUUUAAAACUACAACUUUAUUGCAGUGGUUCCAAAAUACCUAUUAACUAUUAAGCCUUUUUCUAUUUCCAGAAAUCUAGGUGAGACAGCCCUUAUAAUUUAGAAGAAUAAUAAAAAUCAAUUUUUUAUAUUGAUUAUAGUUCAGUAAUUCUUUAUUGUCACUGAUAAGUGUAAACUGUUUAAUUAUUAUUUACUGUUAUUUAAUUUUACUGUUUACUAUUAUAUUCUAAUAGAUUAUUGAAUAUUGCUUUAUUUAAGUUGUUUAUUUUAAAGUUUUUGUGACUUUUUUGUAUUGCAUCAGAUUGUUAUUACAUGUGUGAUCUUUGCUGUUUUGUUGUUUCUUCAGCUUGCAAGCUGCCUUGUGUAUAGUAUUAUAGAAAGACGGUAUACAAAUUAAAAGUGAAAUGAAAUGAAAAAGAAGCAUAACACCUCAGCCUAAAGUGCAGCGUUCUUUGUUGCUAAGGUGUACUCAAGUUCCAACAGCUUGAGAUAGAUUACUGGGCCUGUGGGUGACAAGUUUCCACUUGUACUUAAUAUUUCCUCGUGAGCUUUCAUCAUACUCCUUGCUCAGCGCUGCUAGAAGAGUGGGCAUGCCACACGGAGAAAGGAAACUACCUUAGCUCAACGUGGUUGUCUGUGGCUGUGUGAUUGUGUGGAAGUCUUUUUGGCUGAAGCUAUAAAACUUCCAUACAAUAUUUAUUUGUUGUGCACUACAGUCCCAGAUGGGACGCAGGUGGCGCUGUGGGUUAAACCACAGAGCCUAGGACUUGCCGAUCAGAAGGUCAGCAUUUCAAAUCCCCAUGAUGGGGUGAGCUCCUGUUGCACGGUCCCUGUUCCUGCCAACCUAGCAGUUCGAAAGCACGUCGAAGUGCAAGUAGAUAAAUAGGUACCGGUCCGUCGGGAAGGUAAAUGGCGUUUCCAUGCGCUGCUCUGGUUCGCCAGAAGCGGCUUGGUAAUGCUGGCCACAUGACCCAGAAGCUGUACGCCGACUCCCUCGGUCAAUAAAGCGAGAUGUGUGUUGCAACCCCAGAGUUGGUCACGACUGGACCUAAUGGUCAGGGGUCCCUUUACCUUACAGUCCCAGAGCUGGAGGAGAACUCAUGGGGGUUCAAGAUAUGUGGGAAUUCUGAGGAAGGAUUCAAAAGACAUGAAAAUUGCCCAGUGCUGAUGCUUUAUUAAAGAAAGGUAUAGACUUACAGCAAAAAGCAGCCUGCCAGUUCUCCUUGCAUCUCGUGCGCAACGGACACCACCAGGCAAGAAGAUGAUGGACUGUCUGCACCCAAGCAAAGAUGCACACAUUCUUUAUACAAUAGAACAGCAUACUGUACGUCACAUGUCCUGUGGAAUUGACUCAAUCAUUAACCUGGGGAUUUGUAAACUUGAUGAGAAUUGUUUGUCUGGUGGUGCAAAAGCACAGGGAUAUCUUCACAGCUUACUUGAACACUGCCACACCACACACACACACACUUUGCCGCUAGUCUCCAUCCACUAGCAUUUGCUGCUUGAGGUGUUUGGCUCACUGUAAGUCCCAUUAGCCUUCUGCACCAACCAUCAGAUCAAAUGAGCUCCAACGUUCAGCCCAGUCAAAAGAAACACAGAUAUGGUUUGGGAAAGAUGUGCCUGUCCUCGAGUAGUUCAGCAGCCUCUUUGAAACUCAACAUCAUAGUUAACUCUAAUUACUGAGUAAACUUUAGAUGAAGGGGAGAAUGUGCAUAGUAUAAAAAGACUUGAAAAAUAUUUCAAAUACUGUACGAUAUUUCGCAUUUGUGCACACCCACACCCACAAAAUAGGUUAAAUCUACUUUUUAGUUAUUCAUGCCCCAGAAAGCUUCCAAUUCAUCACUUUUACAACAAAAUUGAUUUAAUGACAACUCACAGGCAGAUUAAACAUUGUUCUGUCACUCCCAUCCUGCUGCGUUCAUCCCAUACGUUGCUCCAGUGUGUCCCUUGUGAGGCCACAGGGGCUUGGGGGGGGCAGCCAGAUAAGCCCUGGUGCAUUAGUGAAAUUCUACUUGCUCUUCUCAGGUUUCAGCCUACAAAUGGCACAGGGCACAGAUCAGAUUCCUGACCAUCUCAAUUUUGAUGAUUUUUAUAAAGUGUUUCCAGCCCCAAUGGUUGCAAAGCUGUUACGCUUGAAAGGUAGUGGUCAGUGCCUGGUGAGAUAGAGGUGAUCUGCUGAGCAGCUAAGCCCUGCAUAUCUCUUUUCCGAAAACCAGAAUAAACAAUGCAAAAUAGUAAGAAUGGCACAGAAAAAUUAUGCAAAUAAGGUCUUAUGCAUACAAUGGUACCUCAGGUUACAUACGCUUCAGGUUACAUAUGUUUCAGGUUACAUACGCUUCAGGUUACAGACACCACUAACCCAGAAAUAGUGCUUCAGGUUAAGAACUUUGCUUCAGGAUGAGAACAGAAAUCGUGCUCCGGUGGCAUGGCGGCAGCAGGAGGCCCCGUUAGCUAAAGUGGUACCUCAGGUUAAGAACAGUUUCAGGUUAAGAACAGACCUCCAGAACGAAUUAAGUACUUAACCUGAGAUACCACUGUACUUGACCCAAUGCAUCCCGGUAAUUGAUUUGCUUCUCAUGCAGAAUCACCUAGUGAAGAGGAACAAAAGGAAAGCUGAAGGUGUUAUCCCUAGACCAGUUUGUACCUGCGCACCUUAAACUCAGCCUCUGAGUCAAGCCUCAACAUAUGGCCCUUUUUCUAUAUGAAUGUUGGUUGAAGAGUGAAAUACUUCCCUCCAAACUUUUCAGUAAUAUUCUGUGUGUUUGGUUACAGGCUGAACCGGCAAAGAACGAAGGUGAUAAGCAUUAACUGGCAUUGUCCUUUAGAGGAAUGCAAUCCAGGGCAGACUUCCCAUCUUCUUUAAGAGCGACAAAGAUGUUCCAGUUCAGAAGUGCUAUUUAAAACAUCAGCAAGAAAGGAGUUUCAGGAGCUAAUGCUUACUGCAGUACUGAAGGCAAUGAAGCAUAUUGUUUCUCUUGUUGGUAACACAUAAAUUGAUUGCACAGCAUCAUGUUAUAUGUUUAUGACCAAGUUACCUGGAUCUUCAAAUAUGUUACGACGUUUCACGAUGCGCAGGGCAAAGUGGAUCUCAAGCAUUACCUAUAAGAGCAUAUUUGAAAUAGACUAUGCUUCUAUUUAAGGGACAAUCACAUAGAACGUUUCGUAUCCGAUACAAUUUCUGAUGGACUAUGUACUUUUAAAAUUGCCUACUACCUGCAGUAGCAAAAUUCACUUGGUGUUCACUAUUCUGAAAAUAUAAUGGGUGGAAAAAGACAUAAAGGUUAAUGUCUGCAGAAUGAUUUAUUUAGUCUUUUAAUGCAUAUGCCACCUUUCCCAUGAAGAUUUGAAG